UUUUUAAUAUCCAAAGCUGUAUAAAGUAUAAAUUGUCCAUGCCAUCUCUAGAGUUCAUUGUAAUGAGAAUGACAAAUGCCUCAAAUGGUGUCCUUAUAUAAGAAAACUGCUGUAUCAGUGUUGGACAAAAAUGAUGAGUCGGGAAUUGUGGAGUUGUGUUAUCGCUUACCAGGACUGAAGUUAAAUAAAAAGGAAAAUACUGUGAAAAAUGGGGAAGUCAAUGUCACACUUUCCGAAUGAAACCACCUCACUUAUUAUAGAUUACUACAUUUUCAAGGACACUUCGUCGCCUGUAGACGCACAAGCUGUUGUUAACAUUUUGGGAGUUUAAAAAUAAACUACGGCAACUUCUAACAUCUUCAUGAGAAAUAAUUACAAAGCCUAUAUUACAGUAUUUAAAAAAAUAUAUUUUUCAGUGGAUUAAAAAUACGUCUGUAUGGUACAGUAACGGUUAAAAACCAAACACACUCAUACCAUCACAGCAUCAACCAAUUGCCUUCAAAAGUGAAAACAGGACAUGACUUCAAUUGGACGGCAUUAAAAAAUGGAGUUGUAGUUAUGCUGAGGAAGGAAGAUGUCGAGUUGUCUUGGCAUGAUGUAAUGCUAAGUACAGGUCGUCUUGACCAGUUUGUCAGAACAGUUGAUCACAUGGCACUUGAUCCUCCUACACCACAAGCUGUAAAUAGUUCAACUAGGUUACAACAAAGUAGCCUAGUUUUCCAAUUGUUGUAAACAUGUACUGAAAUUUUGUUAAAAUUAGCUAAAUUAGCCUACAUUCCAUUUUUUUUUCAAUUGUAAUUUUCUCAUGGAGUGCCUGUAUUUUUUGUUAGCCUUACACUUACACCAGGAGUGUUUUUUUUUAAUCAUGUGGCAUAGGCACUAUGUUUAAUUUUAUUCACAGAUGCAAGAUUUGCAUCCUGGCUAAUGCUUUUUGUAUUAGAUACUAGAUAGAAACUAUGAAGAGACUGGGAGACCAAAGACCAAACUGAAUUAAAAGUAAGAAUUAAGUAAGAUCCAUAAUGAUUCCUUAUUUUUUAAUGUUGAAAAAUGAAAUGUUAAAUCAUUUUUUUUUCUAAAAAUAUUUAGAUCAAAUUAAACUAGUAAUAGCUAAAUGAAUUUUUUAUUUCUACUGCAUUGAACUAAACAACAUAGAUAACAAUUAAUAAAUAAUUUUUACCUAUAUAACUACAUAAUCAAUUUUAAAAAAAAAAAUUUUUUUUUGUAAAAUGAUAAAUAUUUAUAAAAAUAUGCAAACACAAAAUUUACUCAGCAAUGUUAAAAGUGGAUAUAAUUACAUUUUCUUUCUUAAACUAGCGACAGCACAAAGUAUGACAUUAUUACAUUAUCAUGACUGAUGAGUGUUACAAAUGCAAUCUUGGCAAAUCUAUACUUUUCUGUGAGAUGAACUCUUUAACUUAAAUUUUCUCAUGUUUAUUUAUUCUUUUGAAAUGAGGGUAAAGCAAUUUGUAUUGGUACUCAAAGCUUCCUCUGGGCAUUCCAGAAACUGAGAAGGAUCAAAGUAAUUUAUAUCGCAUAUGUUGAAACCAGCAGUAGAGCUGUUGGCCAUCCUCAAAUCCCACAAUCUCAAUAUUGGUUUAAGUUAAAUCCUUACGAAUGUUUCAUGUCAUUUGUUUUCUGUACACAACAGACACUUGCCUUCACUCUUCAUGAAUAAAAAAAAGUAGAGGGGCAAGUCGAGUAGCUUUCAUUUGUCUCUAAAGUGCUAGUUAAACAUUAUCAAAGUAAUACCAAACAAAAAUAUUAAUUUAAUUGAUCUCAUGUAUUAAAUCAAAUUAGAUUUGUUUUCUUAAGAUUAUUUAAAUAAUUAUCUGACAUCAAAUAUAAUAGUAUAAUGGUUUUUUAAAAUGUGUCCUCUCUCCUAUGCCUAUACUUGUUGUGACCUGGACAGAUGCCACCAACGGAUAUUAAAUUUACAGACUCUAGCAAUGCCCGCCUAAAACCUGGUGUGCAGCCCCGGGAAUGUUGAUCACAAGUCAACACAAGUGGUGUGCUUGUUUGUCACUAGUGGAAAUAUAAGACAUAUACUAAUAUAUUCAGCUACCAAACACUUGUGGAAAUAAAGACAUACAACUACCAA